rnacentral:lncRNA from 1 species
AAUCCCUAAGCCCCUCCCUCCUCCCUUUUUUUCCCCAAUUCGAAAAUCCACCUCCACCGAUCCACCAUUCCACCUCCGGUCCUCCACGGCUCCACCCAUUUCCAGAAUCAGAGGUUAGAGCAGUGCUUCUACGUCUUCUACCUUUGAAUUUCAAAGGUGAGAUUGCUGCUGUUAACAUUGUUAAGUUGUUAACCCUAGUUUAUUCGACAUGUAGUUUUUUACUUUUUACUUUUUUUAUUUUUGGAUGGAUGAACUGAUUGAUCUCUGUUAUAUUAAUAUGACCAAUAGGGUGCUUUGAUUU